CGGAGGGGUAAUUCCCGGCGAUUCGGCGAGGGGGCCUCCCCUUGCCGGGAAACGAGUUUCGCCUCGGGAGGGGGUCAUGUGCUAUUACCUAGUUGGCGGGGUAACGGCCCACCAAGGGGAAGAUGGCUAGCGGGUGUGAGAGCACGACCCGCGCCACUGGCACUGAGACACUGGCCAGACUCCUACGGGAGGCUGCAGUCGAGGAUCUUCGGCAAUGGGCGCAAGCCUGACCGAGCGACGCCGCGUGCGCGAUGAAGGCCUUCGGGUUGUAAAGCGCUGUCGAGGGGGAGGAAGCCGCAAGGUUGACCUAUCCCUGGAGGAAGCACGGGCUAAGUUCGUGCCAGCAGCCGCGGUAAGACGAACCGUGCGAACGUUGUUCGGAAUCACUGGGCUUAAAGGGCGCGUAGGCGGCUCCUCAAGUCGGGGGUGAAAUCUUUCGGCUCAACCGGAAAAGUGCCUCCGAUACUGGGGAGCUCGAGGGAGGUAGGGGCGGACGGAACUUCCGGUGGAGCGGUGAAAUGCGUUGAUAUCGGAAGGAACGCCGGUGGCGAAAGCGGUCCGCUGGCCCUCUACUGACGCUGAGGCGCGAAAGCCAGGGGAGCAAACGGGAUUAGAUACCCCGGUAGUCCUGGCCCUAAACGAUGGGUACUAGGCUGUGGGCUUGACAUGGGCUCACAGCCGAAGCGAAAGUGUUAAGUACCCCGCCUGGGGAGUAUGGUCGCAAGGCUGAAACUCAAAUGAAUUGACGG
rnacentral:rRNA from 1 species